UGUCAGGCCAAGGAAGUGACAUGUAGUGCCGUGCCUGGGACAGCCUGACUGUCCUAGUCCCAGCUCAGCUGCACAGAUGGCGGUUUGGGGGUGAGGACAAAGCAUUAAGUGGAGAAACAGCUGCCCCUACUCGUGCUCUGAGAUCAGCUGGGAGCCAUUUACAAGAUGUAACCCCACCUGCUCUUACUGCACUGGAUUGGACCAAGCGUGGUCUCCUGAUUUAAUCAAGACCAACUGCAGAGACCACUGGGGUGUUUUUGAGAGUGAUUGGGAGACAAAGCCGUGUGACCUGAGAUGCGUAGAAAACGUCUCCAGGACAAGAUGAGUGUCGAAGACUGGGAGGCAGAAAGUCGGGGUCUGCAGGCUCUCCAGUCAUUUCCGAGAUCCACUGCAUCUUCAGUUCGGAAGGACCCGGAUCUUGCAGGCUGUUGGGCCGGGCUCUGCCUCCAGGAUGCUUUUCUUCUGCAUUUCACUGAGCACCUCCGGGAUCACAAACUGCGGGGAUGCACCGAGGACUGGGUGAGAAUGCACGCUGCCUGAGCGCCGUGCCCCAGACCCAGGCCGGGCCUCCUGUGGCCAGGACCAAGUGUUCCCUGAGCCUUCACCCGAGAAAGCAGAUCUGUGUUCUCAGCCCCGCCACCUGCCACCUUCCUGCUGCUUCCAAAUACACUCGCUUGGCUGGUA